rnacentral:rRNA from 1 species
AUUGAACGCUGGCGGCAGGCCUUACACAUGCAAGUCGAACGAGUGGCGGACGGGUGAGUAAUGUCUGGGAAACUGCCCGAUGGAGGGGGAUAACUACUGGAAACGGUAGCUAAUACCGCAUACCAUCGGAUGUGCCCCGAUGGGAUUAGCUAGCAGGGGGGGUAACGGCUCACCAAGGCAACGAUCCCUAGCUGGUCUGAGAGGAUGACCAGCCACACUGGCACUGAGACACGGCCCAGACUCCUCAGGGAGUCAGCAGUGGGGAAUAUUGCACAAUGGGGGCAAUCCUGAUGCAGCCAUGCCGCGUGUAUGAGGAAGGCCUUCGGGUUGUAAAGUACUUUCAGCGAGGAGGCGUUACUCGCAGAAGAAGCACCGGCUAACUCCGUGCCAGCAGCCGCGGUAAUUC